rnacentral:tRNA from 1 species
UCCUUCUUCGUUCAGUUGGCGACACUUUAUGAAAAGCUUGGCGGACAGCUAAUCCGUAUGUCACUGGUUCAAGUCCAGUAGAGGGAGCCA